AGGUGCAUGCCUCUAGCA
rnacentral:rRNA from 1 species